rnacentral:rRNA from 1 species
CAGCAGUCGCCACGGUAAUACGUAGGGUGCAAGCGUUAAUCGGAAUUACUGGGCGUAAAGCGUGCGCAGGCGGUUUGUUAAGACAGAUGUGAAAUCCCCGGGCUCAACCUGGGAACUGCAUUUGUGACUGGCAAGCUAGAGUGUGGCAGAGUGGGGUGGAAUUCCGCGUGUAGCAGUGAAAUGCGCAGAUAUGCGGAGGAACACCGAUGGCGAAGGCAGCCCCCUGGGCCAACACUGACGCUCAUGCACGAAAGCGUGGGGAGCAAACAGGAUUAGAUACCCCGGUAGUCCCUGUCUCUUU